rnacentral:misc_RNA from 1 species
CACGUGCCUCAAAGACGGCACGUGUUUCUCUUUCCGUGCAUCGUCACCGCUUUCGGACCGUUCUUUCUAGUACGAACCCCCCCACCUGUCCGCCUAGCUGCUCAUUGUCACCAUCCCCCCUCUUUCCAUCAACGUGAACACCGCACGACUCCGCUCCUCUGCCGAGAUCUCCUGCUCCACCGCUUUUUUUUCGUUGCUGUGUCUUUCACCUACCGGCCAUUUUAUUCGACUGCCCAGGAAGGCUUGCUCUCUUGCACGAGGACGGCACAUAUGGCCUCAAAAAUCAUGUUCGUCUCCACCGCAGUGGUAAGAUAACAGCGGACGGUGCCUGGAGCACCUGUGGCUGGAGCUGGCCUCACCAGAGGCGUGCUCAUCGUCGUUCAGCUGGCAGCGAUGACACGGGCCAACCGACGGCGCACCCGGCGUCCUCGCUGACCCGGACGGCAUGCCAUCAGCACGUAUGGUGCGCGCUGUUGGGCUUUUUGGCCGAGGAGGCGGUUGCCAGCCCUGGUGAUUACUGGUGUGCGCGUUCCGCACUUGAACGUCAGCGGCGACCUCCUCCCGGUGACUGGGGAUGCCGCUUGCGACGAAAAUAGCGCAAAGGCGGGGAAGGGAGGGGAGCGCUUGUGUAAGGACGUGGCGUUGCGCUAUCGCGUGUGGUACUUCAGAGCACGGUCACCGGUUUUGUGGCGUCCCAACUACAACUCUGCCUCCUCUGACAUUGUCGGGGCUUCUCUCACGCCAAGCUUUCACCUCAUCGUUGCGGGUCGUGCAGAGACGGUGCUGAAGAUGGGGUACGACGCUAUGGCAUGCAUGUGGGCAGUCGGACGCCUGAUGAAUGUGUAGCUGCAGCCAUGGCUUCGAGUUUCUCUUGAGAGGGCGUCCUGGUGAUGACGAGGAUGAUUUGGGAGGAGAUGGAGAAGCUGUGGUGUCUGGCCCGCAUCGCGCGUGGGUGUAUGCAUGGGUGCGCGUGAGCGGACGGCGUUGAGCACAAAUCGUCCCCCGGACGCCUCCAUGGGCCCUUCCAGUCUCGCUUACCCUCCUCUCACGUUCUCCUCUUGCUCGCUGACAUGCGGAUAAAAGAACAAAAGGCAGGCGCACGAGCCACUGCCGUUCUUGUCGGCUGCUCUCCCCCUGUUGCCUCCUCUUUUUAUCGGACGCUGGAGCUGGCUCUGGCAGCUCCGAUUCUUGUCUAUGUGUGCGCCCAUGUGCGUCGUUUGUGACUGACCUGCUCCCCGCAUCUCACCAGGUGCCCCCUCCUCUUGUGCUCCUCCGUGCUGCCUGCCCCUUCCCUUUCGCUCCCCGUCUCGGUGUGCGUGGUAGGCAUGCCCAUGGCGCCGUCUUUUGCUAUGGUGUACGCUUUCCUAUGGGUCAUCAGUGCCUGCUCUCGCGUAGUUUCUUCUCUCGCGUUGUUGCCAUGUGCGUGUAUCAUCGCCUUUCGCACGCAUCUCUCUCUCUCGCUCUCGCUUGCUGCUUGAGCGUGCCGUUUUUCGCGCUUCCCGGUGCCACG